rnacentral:tRNA from 1 species
GCCUGGAUGGCUCAGUUGGUUGAGCGUCUGACUGCGGCUCAGGUCGUGAUCUCAAGGCU